AAAUCUUCGGAUCACUUUCGGAUCCCACGUGCACAGCUAGUGGUGCAUGGCGAGGAUAGCCGAUGUCAUCCGAAGUCCCGCGUACUGGCUGGUCAACUUGGUUACUCUGUUUGCGACUGCUUACGACUUUUUAUAGACUGGGAAACUUUUGACCAACGUUUCAAACAUGAUUUGGUAGGAUUCAGUGAUUUCUACAAGAUAUUGAGAUAUGCACAGACUUGAACCAAAGCCAGCAUAGUACUGUGGUCCACUGUAUGCUAGUACAAGACGUUACCCUUAUGUACACAAUACGUCUAGUAAGUCUAGAACCCAGUAAUGAGAUACUUAGAUAAAUCUUUUGUGACUUAUUUUACUGAGAUAUUUAAUUAUACAGAGUGAAUUAAAACUUACUUGCUUCCAUUGCUGGAGUACAAGUCGAGAGGACCAUUAGCAUGCCAACGAGAGCGAGAGCCAUGAUGUAUCUGUCUAGUCUUGUCCUUGGAUGGGAACGUGUUGUUUGUCCUCAUUAACAAAACCGUUUCUUACCAUUGAAUUCUAGCAGAUCAUAUGCUUGUCAGGAUCAUGGUCUGAGGAGUACAUUGUAAUGAAGAAUGCUACAUCAACUUCGCCAAACACAACGAACACGUCCUCUUCUUCCGUACCCUUCCGUGCUACUAAAUCUGAUACGAGUAGGUUGAUGAUCAACUCGAACAAUCCAUAUCACUUGAUAUACUGUAUUUAGAAAAUCUCCUGAUGGUUCUUAGCCAAUCAUUGUAUAGCAGGCAAAAGCGAAAUAUGAAGCACGAGGAACACGGGACACCCAGGACCUUUCGACUUUUACGACUAUGUCAUUUCAGUUUGUAGCUUUUGUAAAUAUGGAAUAACUAAAAAAUGAUGUCACUGUUCUUCUUGCUAAAA